rnacentral:rRNA from 1 species
ACGUACACUCCUACGGGAGGCAGCAGUGGGGAAUUUUGGACAAUGGGCGAAAGCCUGAUCCAGCCAUGCCGCGUGCAGGAUGAAGGCCUUCGGGUUGUAAACUGCUUUUGUACGGAACGAAACGGCCUUUUCUAAUAAAGAGGGCUAAUGACGGUACCGUAAGAAUAAGCACCGGCUAACUACGUGCCAGCAGCCGCGGUAAUACGUAGGGUGCAAGCGUUAAUCGGAAUUACUGGGCGUAAAGCGUGCGCAGGCGGUUAUGUAAGACAGUUGUGAAAUCCCCGGGCUCAACCUGGGAACUGCAUCUGUGACUGCAUAGCUAGAGUACGGUAGAGGGGGAUGGAAUUCCGCGUGUAGCAGUGAAAUGCGUAGAUAUGCGGAGGAACACCGAUGGCGAAGGCAAUCCCCUGGACCUGUACUGACGCUCAUGCACGAAAGCGUGGGGAGCAAACAGGAUUAGAAACCCCAGUAGUCCCAUGAU